rnacentral:rRNA from 1 species
CAGGACGAACGCUGGCGGCGUGCCUAACACAUGCAAGUCGAACGGGGAUUUGUUUCGGCAGAAUCCUAGUGGCGAACGGGUGAGUAACGCGUAGGCAACCUGCCCUCCGGCCGGGGGACAACACUCCGAAAGGGGUGCUAAUACCGGAUACGAAGUCUGUGCCGCAUGGUACGGAUUUGAAAGAUGGCCUCUGUUUACAAGCUAUCGCCGGGGGAUGGGCCUGCGUCCGAUUAGCUGGUUGGUGGGGUAACGGCCUACCAAGGCGACGAUCGGUAGCCGGUCUGAGAGGAUGAACGGCCACAUUGGGACUGAGACACGGCCCAGACUCCUACGGGAGGCAGCAGUGGGGAAUCUUCCGCAAUGGGCGCAAGCCUGACGGAGCAACGCCGCGUGAGUGAGGAAGUUCUUCGGAACGUAAAGCUCUGUUGUUCCUGACGAACCUCCCCUCUAUCAACAACGGAGGGGACUGACGGUAGGGAACGAGGAAGCCACGGCUAACUACGUGCCAGCCGCCGC